GACGUAGGGCGCGAGCGUUGUCCGGAUUUAUUGGGCGUAAAGAGCUCGUAGGCGGUUUGUCGCGUCUGCUGUGAAAUCCCGAGGCUCAACCUCGGGUCUGCAGUGGGUACGGGCAGACUGGAGUGCGGUAGGGGAGAAUGGAGUUCCUGGUGUAGCGGUGGAAUGCGCAGAUAUCAGGAGGAACACCGAUGGCGAAGGCAGUUCUCUGGGCUGACACUGACGCUCAUGCACGAAAGCGUGGGGAGCAAACAGG
rnacentral:rRNA from 1 species